rnacentral:rRNA from 1 species
AUUGAACGCUGGCUUCAGGCUUAACACAUGCAAGUCGAACGAUGAUUAUCUAGCUUGCUAGAUAUGAUUAGUGGCGGACGGGUGAGUAACAUUUAGGAAUCUGCCUAGUAGUGGGGGAUAGCUCGGGGAAACUCGAAUUAAUACCGCAUACGACCUACGGGUGAAAGGGGGCGCAAGCUCUUGCUAUUAGAUGAGCCUAAAUCAGAUUAGCUAGUUGGUGGGGUAAAGGCCCACCAAGGCGACGAUCUGUAACUGGUCUGAGAGGAUGAUCAGUCACACCGGAACUGAGACACGGUCCGGACUCCUACGGGAGGCAGCAGUGGGGAAUAUUGGACAAUGGGGGCAACCCUGAUCCAGCCAUGCCGCGUGUGUGAAGAAGGCCUUUUGGUUGUAAAGCACUUUAAGCAGGGAGGAGAGGCUAAUGGUUAAUACCCAUUAGAUUAGACGUUACCUGCAGAAUAAGCACCGGCUAACUCUGUGCCAGCAGCCGCGGUAAUACAGAGGGUGCGAGCGUUAAUCGGAAUUACUGGGCGUAAAGCGAGUGUAGGUGGCUCAUUAAGUCACAUGUGAAAUCCCCGGGCUUAACCUGGGAACUGCAUGUGAUACUGGUGGUGCUAGAAUAUGUGAGAGGGAAGUAGAAUUCCAGGUGUAGCGGUGAAAUGCGUAGAGAUCUGGAGGAAUACCGAUGGCGAAGGCAGCUUCCUGGCAUAAUAUUGACACUGAGAUUCGAAAGCGUGGGUAGCAAACAGGAUUAGAUACCCUGGUAGUCCACGCCGUAAACGAUGUCUACUAGCCGUUGGGGUCCUUGAGACUUUAGUGGCGCAGUUAACGCGAUAAGUAGACCGCCUGGGGAGUACGGCCGCAAGGUUAAAACUCAAAUGAAUUGACGGGGGCCCACACAAGCGGUGGAGCAUGUGGUUUAAUUCGAUGCAACGCGAAGAACCUUACCUGGUCUUGACAUAGUGAGAAUCCUGCAGAGAUGCGGGAGUGCCUUCGGGAAUUCACAUACAGGUGCUGCAUGGCUGUCGUCAGCUCGUGUCGUGAGAUGUUGGGUUAAGUCCCGCAACGAGCGCAACCCUUUUCCUUAUUUGCCAGCGGGUUAAGCCGGGAACUUUAAGGAUACUGCCAGUGACAAACUGGAGGAAGGCGGGGACGACGUCAAGUCAUCAUGGCCCUUACGACCAGGGCUACACACGUGCUACAAUGGUAGGUACAGAGGGUUGCUACACAGCGAUGUGAUGCUAAUCUCAAAAAGCCUAUCGUAGUCCGGAUUGGAGUCUGCAACUCGACUCCAUGAAGUCGGAAUCGCUAGUAAUCGCAGAUCAGAAUGCUGCGGUGAAUACGUUCCCGGGCCU